AGUAACUGCGAGUGAAGCGGGAAAAGCUCAAAUUUAAAAUCUGGCGGUCUUUGGCUGUCCGAGUUGUAAUCUAGAGAAGUGUUAUCCGCGUUGGACCGUGUACAAGUCUCCUGGAAUGGAGCGUCAUAGAGGGUGAGAAUCCCGUCUUUGACACGGACUGCCAGGGCUUUGUGAUGCGCUCUCAAAGAGUCGAGUUGUUUGGGAAUGCAGCUCAAAAUGGGUGGUAAAUUCCAUCUAAAGCUAAAUAUUGGCGAGAGACCGAUAGCGAACAAGUACCGUGAGGGAAAGAUGAAAAGAACUUUGGAAAGAGAGUUAAACAGUACGUGAAAUUGCUGAAAGGGAAACGCUUGAAGUCAGUCGCGUUGGCCAGGGAUCAACCUUGCUUUUGCUGGGCGUACUUCCUGGUUAAUGGGUCAGCAUCAAUUUUGACCGUUGGAUAAAGNUUAGGGGAAUGUGGCAUCUUCGGAUGUGUUAUAGCCCUUGGUCGCAUACACCGGUUGGGAUUGAGGAACUCAGCACGCCGCAAGGCCGGGUACUUGUACCACGUUCGUGCUUAGGAUGCUGGCAUAAUGGCUUUAAUCGACCC
rnacentral:rRNA from 3 species